rnacentral:rRNA from 1 species
AGAGUUUGAUCCUGGCUCAGGACGAACGCUGGCGGCGCGCCUAACACAUGCAAGUCGAACGAGCGAGAGAGAGCUUGCUUUCUCGAGCGAGUGGCGAACGGGUGAGUAACGCGUGAGGAACCUGCCUCAAAGAGGGGGACAACAGUUGGAAACGACUGCUAAUACCGCAUAAGCCCACGACCCGGCAUCGGGUAGAGGGAAAAGGAGCAAUCCGCUUUGAGAUGGCCUCGCGUCCGAUUAGCUAGUUGGUGAGGUAACGGCCCACCAAGGCGACGAUCGGUAGCCGGACUGAGAGGUUGAACGGCCACAUUGGGACUGAGACACGGCCCAGACUCCUACGGGAGGCAGCAGUGGGGAAUAUUGCACAAUGGGGGAAACCCUGAUGCAGCGACGCCGCGUGGAGGAAGAAGGUCUUCGGAUUGUAAACUCCUGUUGUUGAGGAAGAUAAUGACGGUACUCAACAAGGAAGUGACGGCUAACUACGUGCCAGCAGCCGCGGUAAAACGUAGGUCACAAGCGUUGUCCGGAAUUACUGGGUGUAAAGGGAGCGCAGGCGGGAAGGCAAGUUGGAAGUGAAAUCCAUGGGCUCAACCCAUGAACUGCUUUCAAAACUGUUUUUCUUGAGUAGUGCAGAGGUAGGCGGAAUUCCCGGUGUAGCGGUGGAAUGCGUAGAUAUCGGGAGGAACACCAGUGGCGAAGGCGGCCUACUGGGCACCAACUGACGCUGAGGCUCGAAAGUGUGGGUAGCAAACAGGAUUAGAUACCCUGGUAGUCCACACUGUAAACGAAUGAUUGUAGGGUGUUGGAGGGAUUGACCCCUUCAAGAGCCCGCAGUUAAACACAAUAAAGUAAUCCACCUGGGGGGAGUGGGACCGACAAAGGGUUGAAACUCAAAGGAAUUGACGGGGGCCCGCACAAGCAGUGGAGUAUGUGGUUUAAUUAGACGCAACGGGAAGAACCUUACCAAGUCUUGACAUCCUGCGACGAUGCUGGAAACAGUAUUUUCCUUCGGGACGCAGAGACAGGUGGUGCAUGGUUGUCGUCAGCUCGUGUCGUGAGAUGUUGGGUUAAGUCCCGCAACGAGCGCAACCCUUAUGGUCAGUUACUACGCAAGAGGACUCUGGCCAGACUGCCGUUGACAAAACGGAGGAAGGUGGGGAUGACGUCAAAUCAUCAUGCCCUUUAUGACUUGGGCUACACACGUACUACAAUGGCGUUAAACAAAGAGAAGCAAGACCGCGAGGUGGAGCAAAACUCAGAAACAACGUCCCAGUUCGGACUGCAGGCUGCAACUCGCCUGCACGAAGUCGGAAUUGCUAGUAAUCGCAGAUCAGCAUGCUGCGGUGAAUACGUUCCCGGGCCUUGUACACACCGCCCGUCA